UUCUUGGGCAGGAGCAGGCCAAGUGCAGCAUAAAAGAAGCUGCCACGUGAUGUGACAGGAAAAGCUGCUGCUGUUCCCUGUGUCUCUUCACUCUCACGUGGGUGUGCGUGCUCAUUAGAGCUGCUGGGGAGAUGCUCUCAUGCCUGCAAGCAAAUAUUGCCCGUGGGAUGAGCAGCACAGAGGAUGCCUGCGCUCUGAGAACCUGUCCCUCAGACCUGCUAGGAAAGCAGCCCUCUGGCUGCACGUGGGAGAUGCAGUGAUAAAUAUCAUUGACACUGCAAGAAAAUCAGAUACGCCAUGUCAGGGAUCCUGCAUUUCUGUUUGUGUGCUCGUAGGGCAGCCAUGAAUCAGUGAGUGCAAGCACAAAGAGCCCUGCGAGGCACCUGAUAAAUGUGCUUCAGAAAAACCUGAGCUGUGUUGCUUCUAAUUUGGAAGACGACUGUUGGAGGACAGUCCAACCCAAUGGGAUCUGAGUGUUAGCCAACUCCUUUGCCCUCUCCCACGGGAAAGAAGGCUAUAAAAUAAAACCAGCUCAUAAAAUGUUGUUAGUCAACCUGUUCCUCACUUGUGACACAGGAUGGCAAAGGUCCUAGAGGCAGAGCUGGAGGGGGAGAGGGAAGGUGAGCAGUAAAAAGAGGAUGAAAUUCAGAGAAGAGGAUGAUUGUGUGCAAUAGAGGACAAAAACACCCUGGAGAAGCUCAAUCCACUCUGAGCCAGUGCAUAAAUUCACUCCUGAAAGUUUAAAAGUUUGCAGUGCCAGGCAAAAAUUCCCAUGUGUUGAAAGGGGAAAUCUGGAGUGCACACUCUGACAGCAGCCAUGGAGAUCCCACGCCAUGGCAAUUCCACAUUGGGCAGUGGGCCCUCCUUAGGCCUGCACCCCUCGUUUUGCAACAGCCAUGUUUUCCCAAUGUGCAGCAGUCGUACCAUGAGAAACGUGGGGUGUGAGGUUUUCUGAGCAGUGCUUUAAGUGGGUGGAAAUGAGUUGUUUUUUUCUUUUCACUGAGUUUGACUGGGGUUCUAACAUUUCAGCAUCAGCCACACACUGCUCUUGGAUGGCUUGGAACAGAAGUCUGUGAGAAUGGGCAUUUUCUCAGGUGUCAUUUUAAUGAUCACUGAGGUAAAAGGGAACUUGUCAUUGGCUUCACUGUGCUUCGGUCUGGGCUUUGAGCUCAAGUGAAUUUAAAGAGCUCCAAAAUAGAAACGUUUUGGACUGAAGCUGUUGGAUUUGGCAAGGUCUGCUCGAUGAUGGGGCAAUGUUGCUUAAAUUCAGGCACAGUGUAGGAAAAUGUUGCUAAUUGAGGUUAUCUGUGAAAGGAGUCCAAAUGUCUCAAUUUUUAUGCUUAAUGGAAAAGCAUCAGACAAAAAAAGGAGUUGUUUCGGUGAGAGUAAAUCCCUAAAGUCUGUCAGGACCCAGCGCCUCUUUUACUUUAUUUAGAAUCUGUUUCUUUGGGAGCUUUAGCUAUGUCACGCUGCCCAAACAAGGGGCAGAGGACUGAAAGCAGCUGUUUGUUGAAGCAGCUCAGUCUCGAUAUUUUUCUGCAGUAGAAUGCAUGCACACUUGGCGCUCCUUCCAUUACUGAUUAGCAACAGCUUGCCCAAUGCCUCGAGAAUUUCAGCCCUUUCUGCAAACCCCACAGCAGCCAAGUGUGCCUUCUGAGGCUGGCCAGGCUACGGCAGCUGCACACUGUGCUGUGAAGAUGCACAUUGUCCCAAGGUUACCGUCUCCUUAUGGUAUCACGACAGAAGGAUUUAGCAGAGGCCUUUAGAGAAGGUUUUAUCUGCUGAAAGGCCAAAGGAAGAUGAAGGAAGUGAAGCACAAGGGGAGAGGAGAAGAUGGCUCAUUCAAUGCUUAUCUUUCAGCCUACACAGCCACGUUGUCACUCUGUGCCUGGAUCUUCAAACCACCAGUUAGGGCUGAACUCUGCUGCCUUUGCUGGAGGACACAGCUUUGAACUCAGGCGCCUAGAAUAGGAUGCUGUAAGAUACUGCGGAACAGGAUGCCCAGAUCAGCUUUUAUUCCUUCAUGUAAUGUCACCAUUUUUAGAGGAAUAGUAUUCCUCCCCCCGUCCACCUACUAAUAGGGCUUGCUUAUCCUGCAGAAAUACCUGUAUCUCCCCUAAAGAAGUUUCCAGUCAUGCUCCUUCACAACUAUACAUUAGGAAGACACUUUUGUUUCAUCUUCUACGUCUUACCAUAAAGUUAGCCAUCCCUUCAUUCCCAGUGCUUUUUCUCUGACUGCAGAGCUGACCACAUCUGGCCCCAGCACCCACUGCCUCUGCUCUGCUCAGCUCCAGAAGCUCCUUCUGGGUGGUGGUUUUUCUCUGCAGUUUUUUAAAUGGAAAUAAUGAUUUUUGGUUAGGGACAAAAGAAGAACUGUGCUAGCAUAGGGCAUUAAUUUAGGCAGGCAUUACUAUAUUUCUAAGGAGCAUAAACCAUUAUUUGGUGUCCUCCCUCCUUCCAAAUAAAACUGUAUGUGCCUUCCUUUAAAAAUGUAUUUUGUGUGUAAGUCAUAUAGGAAAACAUUAAAUGCAGCAUAAAGAUAGUAAUAAAACUGGUUGUAAUAUUUAUAUGUUUUUCAUGACCAAGUGCUUUCUAGCUAGAGAUGCCAUAACUGCACACUUUGCACAGCAAGCAGCGAGGCACUGCAGAAGCAGCACACCAGCAGGACCCAGCCCGCUGGCACAGGGGUGGGCAGCUGCCAGGGACAGCGUGAGGCUGGGCACCUCUCCUGGGCACGGAGGGGCUGGGUGCCUGCUGUUGAGGAGCUGGCUUUGUGCUCGGGGUGGAAAUGCUGCAGGGUAGAGGAGGAGAUCCAGCACAAGCAUUACAUGAAGUCCUGACAUAGCAGCAGAGGAGGAAUUGUAUCCCAGAUCUUUUCCUGGCAUGUCCCAGUUCUGCGUCUUCCCUCUCUCAUUUCAGCACCAGAAGCCUUCUGAUGUUUGGGCUCAUCACAUUCAGCAUCACUGAGCUUGCUACGAAGUCGUGGGUUAGGUCCAGGCCAGUCCUGGCAGCACACCGUACCUUGAGAGGAAAAGCAGAUAAAAACAUGACGUAAGGGAAGAACAGCGGAAAUAUUGCUGCUGACAUUUUUCUCAGGGUUUUCCGGUGUUUGUGUUGGUCUGCCUGACUUGUCGCAACAGGACAGAGCAUAUUCUAGAGAUGCGGAGUGCCCUCUAGCCACACUUUCUGAAACAGCUGCAUCCUGCACAACUGAAGAGCUCCAUUUCCUUGCUUGUGGCUUUUUUUUUUUCUUUUUUUUCCCCCAAGUAGGAAAGCAGCUCAUUAUUCAGUAAAUCCUAAACUGAUUUUGGCUCUAGAGAGCUUCCUAUAGGAAGAGCUUUCCAUCUGCUGCAUCUGUUUAUUUCCAUGUUGUAGCUGAGCAUAUUGCCUUUGUGGUCCCCAGACAAUGCAUUUCACAAACACUGCCAUCACUAGGUGCAUGUUAGAGUCACUUCCCUGAGCUGCGUCCCCUUCCAGGAGAGGAUGUUGCUUUGUAGACUACAUUGCUGCAGGUGUUGGGGUGUUGGUCCCCUACAGUUGGGUGGAACAGGAAAGGCAGACACAGCACAGGGAACACAGCUCCUUGUUGUCCCUGUGGCUGAGAAUCCUGUGCCUGUAGCUGAUGGGAGUAGGAGAGGUGUGCCAGAGCUGGCCACGGUUACAUCUCUAAGUUGCUGUCCAUUCUGCCUGAAUGUUCAGCGUUUGCACCGAUACCAAUCUGCAAUGUGAUUUUUUUUUCCCAAACGUCCAAUGAUUUGUAAGGAAUAUGCACAAUGAAUAUUAGAGGAAGCUCUGAUGUUCCCUCAGCCAUGGCCCACGGCUUGCGCUUCAUACUCCAUUAUGUGGUAUGACUCUUGAAGACUUUUUUUAAAGGUCAUGCUGUUUGUGCUGCAUAAUAUAAAAUACAAUUCCACUGUAAAUUAAAAACAUAUUUUACGGCUUGCUGCUGUGCUUUGUGAAGGUGAAGAAGAUUUGAAAUCACGGGUCUUCUUGGUUGUAGAAAAUAUUUAAUAUCAUCCUAAUAGGUCCUGGAUGGCGUUAUGGACUGGUAAUAAGCUACAGAGGACAUUUAAGGGCACCUUGCUACAUACUGCUGCCUAUUUUCUGGUCUGCCCACAGCAGAACAUUUUCUCAUUGUUGACACUGAGGACAACUGUGCUAGAUUUGAUUUUACUUUGUUGUUAUGGGAAUUUUUGAGUGAACUGUAACGCUUUUGGAGCGAAAUGUAAGCCAUCUCCUUUAGCUACAGAGGAUAUACCCAGCCACGUUGAGUUUCUCUCUCAGGAUGAAGGAGAGUUGAUUUCCUGUGUUGAAAUGGUUUACAGGUAAACCAUGGUAUGGAAAAUGGAUUCAGAGAGAUCUGCAGUCUGAUUCUGAAAUUCACUCAUGACAGCUUUUCGGGGAGCCAGGAUCAAAGGGACACUGAGGACUGAGUACAAAGCUGUAGAGAGCACCUAAUACCUGAGCCAUCAGUAACUCGGAGAAGCUGUUAAGGUGCAGACAGAUGGCAGCAGAGGGGCAGUCUGACAAGGAAACAUGGAUGAAGCAAAGGUGUGUCACUGAAUUCCUCCAUGCAGAAGAAAUGGCACCCACUGACCUUCAUCAAUGCUUGCUGAAUGUUUAUGGAGACCAAACAGUGGAUGUGAGUACAGAGAGGUGGUGGGCGGUGCAUUUCAGCGGUAGCAACAGUGGGUCACCUCUGCUGGUGCAGAUUUUUCCAAGCACAGCAUGCAGGCUCUUGUUCAUCUCUGCUGAAAACACAUAGCUAAUGGUGGUGACUAUGUUGAAAAAUA